GAUGAACGCUGGCGGCGUGCCUAAUACAUGCAAGUCGAGCGAACAGACGAGGAGCUUGCUCCUCUGACGUUAGCGGCGGACGGGUGAGUAACACGUGGAUAACCUACCUAUAAGACUGGGAUAACUUCGGGAAACCGGAGCUAAUACCGGAUAAUAUAUUGAACCGCAUGGUUCAAUAGUGAAAGACGGUUUUGCUGUCACUUAUAGAUGGAUCCGCGCCGCAUUAGCUAGUUGGUAAGGUAACGGCUUACCAAGGCAACGAUGCGUAGCCGACCUGAGAGGGUGAUCGGCCACACUGGAACUGAGACACGGGCCAGACUCCUACGGGAGGCAGCAGUAGGGAAUCUUCCGCAAUGGGCGAAAGCUUGACGGAGCAACGCCGCGUGAGUGAUGAAGGUCUUCGGAUCGUAAAACUCUGUUAUUAGGGAAGAACAAAUGUGUAAGUAACUAUGCACGUCUUGACGGUACCUAAUCAGAAAGCCACGGCUAGCUACGUG
rnacentral:rRNA from 1 species